UGGAGCAGCACAACAUUCUCCACUGGUAGGCAUUCGUUGACGAGAAGCUUGGCCAAACCCAGUAGGUAUGCGUGGAAUUAUUGAGCUCAGGUUUUUUGGGAUUAAGAUUCUUACACCAAAGGAUCACUAUAUGCCAAGACUUCGAGGAUGAUAAGAGCGGAAGAUUUGGAUUUAAUUGUUAGGCUCGAUGGCUCAAAAUACGACAAGGAAUCAACUGAAAGAGGAACAUGUAUGAAUCGUACGGAAGAACUACUAUAUGCUAUUAAGAAUAAUUCGGUGUCUAAGAAACAUGGCGAUAUUAUAAUAAUCUCUCGGAUCCAUAUGUAUUUCAUUACUAGAUACAUCCGUUUGGCAUAAGUUUCUUUUCAUUCUGAACCUAA